rnacentral:rRNA from 1 species
GACAGAGGAUGCAAGCGUUAUCCGGAAUUAUUGGGCGUAAAGCGUCUGUAGGCGGCUUUUCAAGUCCGCCGUCAAAUCCCAGGGCUCAACCCUGGACAGGCGGUGGAAACUGCCAAGCUGGAGUACGGUAGGGGCAGAGGGAAUUUCCGGUGGAGCGGUGAAAUGCGUAGAGAUCGGAAAGAACACCAACGGCGAAAGCACUCUGCUGGGCCGACACUGACACUGAGAGACGAAAGCUAGGGGAGCGAAUGGG